CUGCCUGCCUCCCUCAAAGCUGGUCUCACAGGCAGGGAUGGGUCCAUUCAGGAGCAGGCUGGCCCACAUCGCCACCCUCCAGGUCUCCCCUUUCAAACUACAAGGAACCACUGAAGGCGAGUCUGGGAAAGUGCUUUGUGUGGCAGCAGCAGAGUCCUGCAGCUGCUGGCUUCAUUCCUUCGCAUAAGAGCAGUGGGGGCUCAAACCAAGAACUCCAACCUGUCCCUCACAUGCCUCUGGUACAGAACAGCCCCCGCUGGCCCUCUCGCUGAGCCCAGAGAGGAGGAAACACGGUGCCUACAUACUCCCGCACGCUUGUAUUACAGGACAGGGAGAACAGAAGCUCCAGUCCAGUUAGUAUUCAAUACAUUUCUAUCACACCCCCUGCUAUUUGACUCCUAAGGCUCAGCAUUAGAACCCAGGAUGAGAGCCCAGAAGACAACUAUCCCUGCCCGGCAAGAACCCCACCCCCAAAAGAAGGAAACCAGCCAAAGAGUCCACUUGGGCAGGCAGGUUAUUGAGGUCUAUAUUGUUCAGCUUACGAGGAAACACGGCCACGAACAGAACAGUCCAAGUAUCUGAAGACAGCUGCAUCCCAGCAACAGAUUAAAUAAUUUGGCAACUAACA